UCUCUUGCGUUUACCUGUAGA
ensembl:piRNA 21ur-933 ncRNA